AUGAGUAACGCACUAUCAUGCAAAAAUAAUAAGCCUAAAUCGAUUGAGAAAAUUUAUUGUAACCCGUUCACCAAUUCUAAAGAAGAUUAUUAUAAUGAAAAAACACAACGAAUAAUAUGUUCUAUAAUAGCUAGUAAAAACAUUAAAAAAAUAAACCAUGCAAGUUUUGAUUUAUUAUUUCAUUUUUUUAUGAAAAUAAUAAAUAUAAUUGGAGUAAAUUGUCAUAAAUUUUCUUCUUUAAGAGGUAGUGUAGUAGUAAAUUAUAUUGAUAUAAAAUAUUGCCUAAAAUUAGCUUUUAAUAGUUUAUAUAAUGAAAUAUAUAUGUUAAAAGAUUAUAAUAGUUUAUUUAAAAAUGUUUUAUUUGAUUUUAUUAAUCAAGAUGAAAGAAUUAAUAAAAAUCAUAAUUAUAUUAAUGUUAUACAAAAUUCUUAUUUAUUUUAUAAACAAUUAUGUAUGAAAAAAAAAGAGUUUUAUGAGUCAAUUAAUGAUUUUACAAAUGCUAAUUAUUUUAAUUUAGGCAAUUCUUCGUCUAAUGAAAAUGUAAAUGUUCUUUUCCUUGAUGAAAACAUUGAUAUUGAAAAGUAUAAAGAAAUUAUGAAAUUAAAAAAAAAAUAUAUGCAUGACCACAUGCCUAUUAUACCAUUAUCUUUAUAUAGGAAAGAAAAAAAAUUAGGAUAUUAUAAUGAAAAAAUAGAAUAUUACGAAGAUGAUGAUUUUGUAGAAAAAAACUCUUCAUCGACAUCAUCCUCUUCUUCAUCAUCAUCUUCUUCUUCUUCUUCUUCUUCUUCAUCUUUUAAAGAAUCAUCAGAUCAUUCAUUAAGUGAUAGUGAUAAUGAAAAUAUACAUGACAAUAAUAAAACUAAUUUUUUUAAUAAACAACAACGGCAACAAAAAAAAAAUGAUAGUUAUUUAAAUGAUGAAAUUGGGAAUGAAAAAAUUGAAGUAUUAAAACUUAUCCCCAAAGUGAAAGAUAUAUAUAUGCAAACUGUAAAAAAUAAAUACGAAUUGGAACAAAAUAAUGAAAAUAUAUUGAAUUCGUUAAAUAUUUUUGAUUUGCAAAAUUAUGAACAAAAAUUGUGA
rnacentral:lncRNA from 1 species